GCAUGCUGCUGAGCCUUUUGAAGUGCAUUAGGUUAUUCAUACAAUAGGGCUUUUUUCUGCUUAUUCUGUAUGGCCUCUUUGUACAACUGACAAACAUUUCCAAAGCUCUCAUAAAAAUAACUUCAAAUAGCUAGUAAAAAACCCUAAAGAUUCUGAAUUCCAAUGGAGCACAUAACAACAAAUUUCAGUGGGUGGGAAGGAUUAGCUGUCUCUUGACCGGCUCUAUUUCUAGUACGUCUUGCAAAAGAUGGCCUUCCUAAUCCCUGGCAUGGGUGGCUGCUACAGAGCUUGUUAUAUUCAGUUUUUUAAUUGGAGUAAUUGAAAGUGGCUGUAUCAUCUGCACCCGUUAUGCCUUCAGAGGAAAGUCGUGAUGUAAUUCAGGAGUGAGCUGUAUGAGUACCCUUAGCUCAUACCCUGUUAAUUUGGCAGGCAUGUACGGGCUGAUGAAGAAGCCGUCAAUCUUGAUAUGGGAAGAAGAGGAGCCAGACACAUGCAGGUCACCCGGGAGAAAAACCUCUUACACAUGGAAAAGGGUUUUCAAGAGCCCAGCCCUCUGUGUCGCUGUCCUCUUCUGCCCACUGAACUGUGCCCUGACUUCCCUGAAGAAGAGAGCUCUGCAGCUCCUUGUGCCCCUGAAGCCCAAAAACUGAGAGGUGAGGCAGUGUGCUCACAGCUCACUUACAUACACCUGACAGCCCGCCAGCACCUCCCGCAAGGCCAGCUCUUAGUGCUGCUGGGACACAAAGGGCUGGGGGGCCAGGAGCACAGCGCAGAGCAGCUCCUGCACCUCCAGCACUGACACCUGGAGGAUGCUUCCUUUUCUUUCCUUUCCACGCUCAUCUGGCCCUGAGGAGUCCAGCCUGGGGCACAGCCGCAUGCAGCCAGCCACCUGGGGAGCUGAACCAAGCCAAAUUAUCAGAGGCAAAGUGUUAGGUGCCCUCUGGCAUCUUGCUGGGAUUUAAGAUGUAUGGUAGUUGCUUUUGAAGUGCAAAGCCAGCUGGUGCAUUGCUGGAUCAUUCUGCCCCCAUUCCUGUCUUCUCUCUGCUGCUCUGAUGGCUCGAGCCACAGGUACUCCGGCACACACGUAGGAGAACAACUGGAAUAGUGCACUCUUACACAUCCCUGCUUUAGACAAAGCACCCAGAGCCAGCUGUGAUUCACCCUAGUUAUUAAUCCAGGCUUUAGGACAGAGGAAGGGGGAAAAAAAAAGCAAGCUAUUGCGUGAGAAGGAUCCCCAGGUUGGUUGGUCUGAUCUUUUCCUGCAAAAGGGGGAAGAGCCCCUGGAUCUCCAUCUGAACCUCUCCCAUCAAGUGCCUAGUUCUCUGUAGCACCUUUCCUUUGAUCUCUCUGAGUCUGGAUCAAGCUACGUAGCUUGCUGUAGAUGCUGUGUUGAACGUUACACGGAACUGAAGUCCAUUCCCCGCGCUGCAAGAUGCUCGGCAGAGGCAGCUGUAGGGACAGCGAUACAGUGCAGGUGUGGUGAGGGAGGGCAGGCAGUGGCCUAGCCUGAGUGAAGCCAGAUGAAAUGACUGAAUGGCACCGAACAGCUACAGCUCUCCCAGCAUCUUUCAGCAGGGAAGGAGACCCAGGGGACAGCACGGGUUGAUUUUGUAACAGCACCCUGAGAAGACGCCACAGGAAGGAGCACGGCUGGGAUCACAGGCGGCAAACUCCUGGCAGGGGAGAAUAUAAGGAGGGACUUCAAUCCCAGGACAAUGAAAAACUCUGCAGAUGCAGACAGAAAGCAACUCCUGAACUGUGAGACAGCUCUCUAGCUCACCUGCAAGCCUAAUCUGUAAGGAAGAGGACACUGAAGUUCUGGGGUGUACAGUACAACGCUGUACUGGACACACUGGGAUACAUGCAGAGAAAGAAAAAACAUACGAAGUGAAAGGGAAUAAAGGAAAAACUCUGCUGAGAAGAAAAAUGCUAGGGCUUGGUUUUCAUUAUCUGAAGCCCCAACUCAGAACUGUCCACCUGAUGGUAAGAGGUGCCACCCACCCAGGAGCUGUGUCUAGGGAGAAAAAAGAAAACUUUUACAACUGCUGCCAUAAGACACUAUAUGAGCUUGGUAUCCAGCCAGACUGAAAACAAAUAUUCUCAUUCCAUAACAUCCAAGCACUGGGAGAGAACAUGCCAAAGCAGAGAAUUCCUGAAUGAAAACCUUGCGGUUUUAGUGUUUAUGCAUUUGGCAAGUGGCCCAUUAUAUGAAUAAUGCCAAUGCCAUAUAUUCUGCAGAAUAUGCCAGGAAAGGUUUCCUUUGGCCAGAACCCAGCGUUGAGCCACAGCUCUCAGGUCCCUCACUGCGUCAUCCCAUCCUGCACACACAACCCUGUGCAAUCGCAGCUGAUAGCCAUCAUUUUCUCCCCCAGUCUACUGAGGGGUACUUGUGUGGGCUGCUCCAUGGUACUGCUUUCCUCCCAAAGUGACCUUCACUCAAAGGCCAACACCUACCUGUGUGCACAGCAGCAUUCACAGUCUGCCCUUGGAGGUGCUACAUGAACAAAGCUCCCAAAGAUUUCACUGGAGGUUUUGCUUGCCCAAGGACCUGAGGAUGGCCUACCCAGUCCAUUAGGAUACCGAGAACUACUGCAUGCAAUCAUAAAACUGACUGAGGAAAUACCACCAUGAGAUAAAUUACAUCAUAGCUGCAUUCAGAAGUGUGUUUAACACAAAUUAGCUGUAUUGAACUAACACUGAAGUUACAGACUAAGAUUCCUGAAGCUGACUAAGGGAUCUGAACACCUCAAUGCUUUUAAUUUGAGUGGGAACCAGGGAUUUGAAUUCCUUAAACAGACCUGAGUAUUUCAUCAUCAAUGUAUAACAAAAAAGUAACUUGAUCUUAAAGCCUAAAAACCUAAAGCCUAACCAAAACAUUUUAGCAACACCUUUUGGGAAAACCUCCCCCCAUCCCAUCCCUAAAUUACUGCUGUUAAAAGUAAAGGUUUUCAGAAACCCCUGCAAGUGUUCCAAGUUUUCAAGUCCUCCAAGAACAUUUUCAGAAAAACAAACAAACAAACAAAAAAAAAACCUGCAGCAAACAUUCCUCAAUAGAUCACUUUCACCAUUUCAAAAUAAAUAAAUAAAAAAAAAGUAAUUAAAA